rnacentral:misc_RNA from 1 species
UUGCCAGCACGUAGACAGGGUUUG